GAUUUUAUAUGUAUUUAUACCUUAGUUAAUUUAAUGCACAAACUUCUAAAUAUUACUUGUACGUCAGCUGUUUCAAAUUGUUCUGAGCCCAAAAGAUGGAAUUUCUUAUUCAUAGAUAGGAAAAGAAGGAAUGGGGAUAAGUGGAUAGAAGGGUUACGCCAAGGCUAUAAUUAAAUUUUUGCAGGAAACACCAAGGAGCUACUCCAUAAGAGGGAAACAGUGUUCUACCUUUCAAAUUACUUUCUUUUGAAGUACAUUGUAAGCCCAGAAGGAAGUUUAGUUAUAACCCUAUGAUAUGGUUUGGCUGUGUCCCCACCCAAAUCUCAUCUUGAAUUGUAGCACCCAUAAUUUCCACAGGUCAUUAGAGGGACUGGAUGAAAGGUAGUUGAAUUAUGGGGCUGGUUACCUCCAUGCUGUUCUCAUUAUAGUGAGUGAGUUCUCACAAGAUCUGAUGGUUUUACAAGGGGCUUCCCCCUUUGCUCGGCUCUUCUCCUUCCUGCCACCAUGUGAACAAGGAAACAUUUGCUUCUGCCUUCAACAUGAUUGUAAGUUUCCUGAUGCCUCCACAGCCAUGUGGAACGAUGACUCAAAACUGAGGCUAAUUAUCAGAAUAACCACAGGAGAUUUUAAAUACACAGAUGUCUGAGCCUCAUUCCUGAAGCUGGGUUCAGCACACAGAAGCACAGAAACUUUGGAGUUAGACUGGCUUGGAGUCUAAUCCAAGUUCUAUCAUCUACUAUCUGUGCGACUUUGAGUAGCUAUGUCUGCUUCUGAUCCAAAAAUCAUGUAUUUCACAUAACCACAGAAUUUUUGCAAACAAUAAAGAAUAUACAAGACAAGCACUUGGCAAAUGACUAUUUCUUCAUCUCUCUUUGCUAGUAGCUAUAGUUU
rnacentral:lncRNA from 1 species